CUUGUCCUACCGAUUUGUAGAAGUAUGCACUCGCGACAUCGGUGAGUCGCGAUUUAAUUGAUGCUGCUCGCGAAUUAAUUACGCGUUAGUAGUCGAGAAAAUUCCUGCAUCUCGGAUUAAGUUGAACGCUUUGAAGCGUGUCUGCGAUUACGUAGAUUACCGUCGUCCUCGAUGAGGAUAGAAUUCGUUUCUUUCAAGUCGCUCCAUUUCACGCGCUAAUAGGUUCGCGGUGUUUCGCGCACUCGUGUUACGCGACGUCGCGUUUACAGACGCGAUUCACUUAAAAACCAAGCUCUGUCGUCAGCGGAUUUCAUUUUCUUUCUUUUUCUCUUCUGUCUUUUUCCUCCCCAUCUUUCUUUUUUUUUUCUUUUUUUUUAUUUCACCGCGAAGCGACUCGAUUAUACCAACCGACUAAAGCUUGAUAUCAAAAGCAUUAUAGAUUCAGACGUAUCCAAGUAAGCGCGAGCGAAGACGAGAAAAAACGGAAAAAAGGAAAUUUCGCGACCCAGCUGAAAUAUCCCUUUAGAAUAUCAGCGGGUGAAAAUCUUUUUUUCUUGAGUUACAAAGAAGCUCGGCGACGCGUUCUUCCUGAAAUAAAAUAACCGAUAAGUGAUCCGUGUCGGUGUGGACAGAGCCUUAACGUGAGAAACGAGAGGCCAAGUGAUCGCAUAAACGUAUUCGUGUCAAAAGCAGCUCCGGUCGAGACCCGAGUUAUCCUCUGACCCCACUCUGUCAUCUCGAACUUACUUCGCCUCCUCUUCGUAUCACCAAACCGUUAUUUUCGGCCAGGUUUCCCAUUUUCUUCCCGAUAUUCUUCCGGGCAAAUGAUUCGAAUGCUUUACAUAUACAUUUUAGAACAAACAUAUGUACCUACUAGCUGAGAAUAAAGCGUUUCUAUGCAAGACAGAAGUAAUAUAAAAUUUUAUUUUUCAUAUCUACAGUUUUGUAAAGAUAUAGAAAGUAGAUUCGGUUUGAAUAUAGUUGAUAAUAUAUAACUACAUCGUUUAAUGUGAUUAUAUAUUUUUAAUUAAACGAGGAUGACGGAAAAUAUCAACUCUUUACGAACAUUUUCUUUCGUUCUGAUUUUUCUCCGCUUACCUUUUAAAACAAUAUCUUGACAAAAUUUUAUUUUGAUUUUCACUCGGAUAAUCACCGGAAUUCAUUUUGAUUUCAAAAGAUUGCAAAAAUUGAUAAGCGUUUGACAAUGAGGAUCUUGAAAUCUUGAAAUAGAAAUGCUUAAAACAUAUAAAUAAAUUUACUUCCCAAAAUUCUAUGCUACAGAUUUAAUAUAACAUUUCUGCACUAGUCAUUUCUAAAUGAUCAUUUACAAAAUAAUUUCAAUGCAAUAUACAUUUAAACAACAAUCACGCAAAUUUCUUCCCAUUUAAAAUGUUUUUGGCCUAUCUUAUUCUUAGCAUAACAUUUCCUCUCUAUCAAAGGUAGAAAUUCGCGUUUUUCCAUUUAAAAUAGAGAAACGUUUAAUAAAAUACCGCGACGGUUGGUGCACGGCAUUCUUUAGUAUCGAAUGCUUACGUAAUAAUACGUGGUCGCGUUGGCGCGUCUACUCCUACGAACCGUGCGCGUUCUAUAUCCACGGAAAUUCUCGAGCGCGGUGCAUCGGUGCACUUUAAAGCUCGCGGUUGUAUAUUUCCUCCCGUGCACCGAACACCUCGCACUUGAGCCUUGUCACAAUAAAACAUCGGUCGCGCUUCCGCGGCGUUGCUCGCUCACUGUCGCGAAACAAAAAUGUUUCGCCGCGGAACGUCGUGCAAUUAAGGACACAGAAUCCCUUGCCGAUAAACUUUGUAACGUAAGCUCUGACUAAGUUUAAUCGCUUAGUUCGUAUCGCUUUUACGCUUGGAAAAAAUUAAACAGCUGUUCUAUUUAAAUGAUACAUUUAGAUGUUGAUAUUCGGAUUUUUUUAUAUAAAAAAUCAAAUCAGAUUCUGACAUAGUAAUUUUGCAGAUAGGUAUAAGAAUAGUUAUGAAGAAUAUCUUUGUCUAUCUGAAUGAAAAUUUGCUUGUUAUCGUAGAUUCACGAUAAAUCCAGACUCGACGCGAAACCUCUUAAGGACUUCGUAGCAGGGUGAUAUAUCAAUCACAGAGGAAGCUAAUAGGGGAAUGGAGCAAGGCAACAUCCUCACGUGAGAAAUUCAUGGAAAACGUGGUAUCUUUCGCGCGUGCCGCGUGAACACGUGCAUCCUCAAAAUAGAACGCAAAUAUUGUUGACGCGAAAUGGGAAUUAAUAGAGAGGAUCUGAAAUACUGAAAAGACAAAUACAGAUGUGGCGUAUCUACUGUUCUGCAUGCAAACAGCCAUAUUGACAAUAAGCCUCCGAUAAGCGAAGCAUUUGCGUGCAUGCAUACGUUCAAUCAUUGAUGAUUGCUACAAGAGCAAACGAAUGUAAUAACGAUUUUACGUAAUAAUCAGCCUGAUAGGAUGCAUUCGUUUCUGUCAUACCUAUCAUAAAAAUUGCUGAUUGAAAUCCUAUUAUUGGAUAUGAUCGUUUACGACCUUGUGUAUGAAUUCACGUGCGUAGGAUGUCUGGCCAGUCAGUGAAGCAACUACAUAUCCUCGGGGAUCAGUAGAAGUUUCCUGUAAUGAACAGACUCUACUGUUCAUAGAACGGCAUACGUAUUUCUUUGACUUGUUAGACGACACGAUUUUUCUACUUUUUUUUAUUAUCGAAUAAUUGUUUAAUUUACCAUUCAUUUAUAUAUUUUUAAUUGAAUUUUAAAAAAGUUGGUAAAAUACAAAAAUGUAAUAUAAAAAGGGAAUAGAAUUAUACUUUGUGAUAUUGUAAAAGAUAUUAAUAUUUAAUUAAUUCAUAUAAAAGUUGAAAUAUAAGAAUAAUAAAUUAUAUUGGUACGUUUA